rnacentral:rRNA from 1 species
AGAGUUUGAUUAUGGCUCAGGAUGAACGCUAGCUACAGGCUUAACACAUGCAAGUCGAGGGGCAGCAUGGGAUUAGCUUGCUAAUCUUGAUGGCGACCGGCGCACGGGUGAGUAACGCGUAUCCAACCUUCCCCCUACUCAGGCAUAGCCCGGUGAAAACCGGAUUAACUCCUGAUAGUUUCACUAGAUGGCAUCUGACGGUGAAUAAAGCUUUGCGGUAAGGGAUGGGGAUGCGUCUGAUUAGCUUGUUGGCGGGGUAACGGCCCACCAAGGCGACGAUCAGUAGGGGUUCUGAGAGGAAGGUCCCCCACAUUGGAACUGAGACACGGUCCAAACUCCUACGGGAGGCAGCAGUGAGGAAUAUUGGUCAAUGGGCGCGAGCCUGAACCAGCCAAGUAGCGUGCAGGAAGACGGCCCUAUGGGUUGUAAACUGCUUUUGUGCGGGAAUAAAGUCAGGGACGUGUCCCUGUUUGCAUGUACCGCAAGAAUAAGGACCGGCUAAUUCCGUGCCAGCCGCGGC